CCAAAGGCUCUUUUAAGAGCCACGUAAGUUUUCAACAAAAUGAGUU
rfam:Otolemur garnettii contig059044, whole genome shotgun sequence.